AAACUGAAGGGUUUGAUCCUGGCUCAGAACGAACGCUGGCGGCGUGGCUAAGACAUGCAAGUCGAACGGACCCGUUAAUUUAUUAGCGGGUUAGUGGCGAAAGGGUGAGUAAUGGAUAGGUAACGUGCCCCGAGCUCUGGGAUAGCCAUCCGAAAGGGUGGGUAAUACCGGAUAACAUCACGAGUCGAUGGGCUCGUGAUCAAAGAUUUAUCGGCGCGGGAGCGGCCUAUCUCCUAUCAGCUAGUUGGUGAGGUAACGGCCCACCAAGGCGAUGACGGGUAGCGGGACUGAGAGGUUGGCCCGCCACAUCGGAACUGAGAUACUGUCCGGACCCCCACGGGGGGCUGCAGUAACGGAUCUUGGGCAAUGGGCGAAAGCCUGACCCAGCGACGCCGCGUGCGGGAGGAAGUCCUUCGGGAUGUAAACCGCUGUCAGGGGGACGAAAGUCCACUUCGGUGGAUUGAUCGAUCCCAGAGGAAGUCACGGCUAACUCUGUGCCAGCAGCCGCGGUAAGACAGAGGUGGCAAGCGUUGUUCGGUAUCAC
rnacentral:ncRNA from 1 species